GUGAAAAUCUUAAUAAAUUAUUACACUAUAUUCCUAAAUAAAACAUCAAUUUUUUUUUUUCAGGGAUCACAGGAAAGAUCAUGAAGUUGUAAAAAGAUGAUGAUGAUUUCACAUGAGUUGAAAAAAUCAAGAAUGAUGCAUGACAUGCUCAGUGUAAGAGCGGUUAUCAGAGCUUGGAAUGUUGAAGCGUCGUAGAAAGGUACCACCUAAGAAGGGACAAGGAAGGGGAAUGAUGAUUUUCUGGUGUUCUUCAAAUUGAUUGUUUUUUUGUCUGAUGAAGAGUACUCUCUGUUUUUGUUACAAGUGUAGAAUGCAUAUGUUUGUACACUUUUUUUCGCACUCUUUCCCAGUUUUUUGGGAAGAUUACUUUCUGUGACAAUGGGCAUAUAUUGGCGAGGUCAAACAUUUCUACC